CACACACAAACACACACAGCUGGGCCGGUGUCUGUUUUCUUCCGUCUCUAAUCUAAUUUUUAAUUCAAAAACUGACUGAAGAGCGUCGCAAGUCGUCAAUCUUCUUGCGCCGUGUGACAGGUCAUAAUCGUAACGAAAUAUUGCCCCGUCUACCAUGGGAACCCUACGCAAAACCAAGAUGGUGGUUUGGCUUUUUUAUGAUGGUGCUUGAUAUCUUUUUUUUUUUUGGGUGGAAAUUUUUGAAGAUGUGUGUUACCAAGUAGCGGGAAUGACUUAUGGACCGUGAGGAAACUGACCGAUCGCAACCUGUUGCCGAUUGCUGCUUAGCAUAGCUGAUCUAGUCUGCGGGGCGUCUUUGGUAGCGAUGAGCCUAAAGCGGUCGCUGUUCUUUCCUGGUGGCAGUUUGGCGUUAAUUACCGGGUUAAGCACACAUGAUGCGGACGGCGUACGUAUAUCGCCCCGAACUCGUUGCCCAACUUCAUUGGCUAGGCGUUACCGACACGUCUCCUGUCACUGCGAGGCGGCCCCUCUUCAACGCAUUCGACUUUAUCGGGUUAUCCGCUGCACCCGGUUUGGCACUGACCCGGCGACCGUGAAGCCAGCGUGAAGCACCCUGGAGCUGAACUGGCCGGCCGCGAACUGCUAAUCCUCUCCGCGGGCUUGUGCAACAAUGGCCGAAACCGAUACCGGAUCAGGGCCGGAUCGAAUGCGCGGGAUGACAUUCAGCCGCAUUGGUGCGUUGAGCGAUGCCUUUAUCAUAUUCCUGUUUCGGAGUCCGGACAGGCCCGCACUUGACAUUGGAUGCGCCCAGAUGAGCACGGCGAUGAACUGGGGCGCGAUGGUAACACUGGUGAUGUAAUUUAGAAAGGAAGUACGGCUUGUGGGGCAUCGUAUGUGAGCACAUCAGUUCUUGAGCAUUGGUCCAAGUCGCGUGACUUGAGCGAAGAUUGAAACCUUGAUUGAACCAAGCAGGUUAAGGACUUGAAAGAGAUCUUUCAACAAAAGCUCUUUCGCUGUCAAUUUGGAACCCUUGUAACACCCAUGUCAGACAUCGACAGGAUCAGUAGAUAUCGAGACUCUAAUAAAUUCUCGUUCCAAACGUUACUCAGAAAUGUCCGAUGACACCCAAACAAUAUUUAUCACUUCCCGGAUCCAACUUGUUUCGCGCAGCUCCAAAACAUAUCAGCGCCAUACUUUGCUCUUCCAUGGUUAGACUUUGCUCUUCGCAUCUUCCGAAACUUCAAAGCAAUCUAGAAUAGUGCAAUCAAACAAAUUGCUGCUAGAGAUUAAGAAUUCUACAAACAAAA